rnacentral:rRNA from 1 species
GGGCCCGCACAAGCAGUGGAGCAUGUGGUUUAAUUCGAUGAUACGCGAGGAACCUUACCAGGGCUUAAAUGUGCUUUGACCGCUCGAGAAAUCGAGCUUCUCUUCGGAGCAGAGUACAAGGUGCUGCAUGGUUGUCGUCAGCUCGUGCCGUGAGGUGUCGGGUUAAGUCCCAUAACGAGCGCAACCCCUAUCUUUAGUUGCCAGCGAGUAAUGUCGGGGACUCUAAAGAAACUGCCCGCGCAAGCGUGGAGGAAGGUGGGGAUGACGUCAAAUCAUCACGGCCCUUACGUCCUGGGCCACACACGUGCUACAAUGGUAGAUACAGAGGGCAGCCACUUGGCGACAAGGAGCGAAUCUCUAAAGUCUAUCUCAGUUCGGAUUGUAGUCUGCAACUCGACUACAUGAAGCCGGAAUUGCUAG